rnacentral:rRNA from 1 species
UGGGGAAUAUUGCACAAUGGGCGCAAGCCUGAUGCAGCCAUGCCGCGUGUAUGAAGAAGGCCUUCGGGUUGUAAAGUACUUUCAGCGGGGAGGAAGGUGUUGAGGCUAAUAACCUCAGCAAUUGACGUUACCCGCCGAAGAAGCACCGGCUAACUCCGUGCCAGCAGCCGCGGUAAUACGGAGGGUGCAAGCGUUAAUCGGAAUUACUGGGCGUAAAGCGCACGCAGGCGGUCUGUCAAGUCGGAUGUGAAAUCCCCGGGCUCAACCUGGGAACUGCAUUCGAAACUGGCAGGCUAGAGUCUUGUAGAGGGGGGUAGAAUUCCAGGUGUAGCGGUGAAAUGCGUAGAGAUCUGGAGGAAUACCGGUGGCGAAGGCGGCCCCCUGGACAAAGACUGACGCUCAGGUGCGAAAGCGUGGGGAGCAAACA